CCUACGGGCGGCUGCAGUGGGGAAUCUUGCACAAUGGGGGAAACCCUGAUGCAGCGACGCCGCGUGAGUGAUGAAGCCCUUCGGGGUGUAAAGCUCUUUCGACAGGAACGAUAAUGACGGUACCUGGAGAAGAAGCUGCGGCUAACUACGUGCCAGCAGCCGCGGUAAUACGUAGGCAGCAAACGUUGUUCGGAAUUACUGGGCGUAAAGAGUGUGUAGGCGGUUUUGUAAGUUUGGUGUGAAAUCUCCCGGCUUAACUGGGAGGGUGCGCCGAAAACUGCAAGGCUAGAGUAUUGGAGAGGAUAGCGGAAUUCCUGGUGUAGCGGUGAAAUGCGUAGAUAUCAGGAGGAACACCGGUGGUGUAGACGGCUAUCUGGACAAUUACUGACGCUGAGACACGAAAGCGUGGGGAGCAAACAGGAUUAGAUACCCCUGUAGUC
rnacentral:rRNA from 1 species